UAGAGAUAUGGGAGUGCCUUCGGGAACUGUGAGACAGGUGCUGCAUGGCUGUCGUCAGCUCGUGUUGUGAAAUGUUGGGUUAAGUCCCGCAACGAGCGCAACCCUUAUCCUUUGUUGCCAUCGGUUUGGCCGGGAACUCAAAGGAGACUGCCGUUGAUAAAGCGGAGGAAGGUGGGGACGACGUCAAGUCAUCAUGGCCCUUACGACCAGGGCUACACACGUGCUACAAUGGCGUAUACAAAGGGAGGCGACCUCGCGAGAGCAAGCGGACCUCAUAAAGUACGUCUAAGUCCGGAUUGGAGUCUGCAACUCGACUCCAUGAAGUCGGAAUCGCUAGUAAUCGUGAAUCAGAAUGUCACGGUGAAUACGUUCCCGGGCCUUGUACACACCGCCCGUCACACCAUGGGAGUGGGUUGCACCAGAAGUAGAUAGCUUAACCUUCGGGAGGGCGUUUACCACGGUGUGGUUCAUGACUGGGGUGAAGUCGUAACAAGGUAACCGUAGGGGAACCUGCGGUUGGAUCACCUCCUUAC
rnacentral:rRNA from 1 species